UUCCCCUCUUCCUUUUCACUAAAAUACUGUACAGAAAUUGUGUGCUGUUGCUAGCAUUUUUUUCUCUACGGAAAUUUGUUGACAGUAUUUUCUCACAUGCAUGGAAAAGAAGUUGGCUGGAAUAUGUUACAGCUGGCAUAGAUCUAUUUUUAACAAACUCUAUUAAAAGCCAUUGAAAUCAGCCUUUUUCUUUCCCCUCCUGCCCUUCACACUUCCAUCUGCUAUAAUUAAUAUUAAUAUAGUCUUCCAACUUGGGAUAUUAUAUUGUUACAUUUUUAGAAAGGCAACAUGAAAUUUUAGCAGAAAAUGUGGUAAACAUGCCUUCUGCACACCAAUCCAUCUGUCUGUAGGAAGCAAGUUUCCUUGGAAACAGAAAAAUCCAUCAGGUUCAUUAUGAUGCCAUCAUCCAGGUACUGUCUCUGUAAAUGCAUCACAGGGUCAGCUGACCUCAAGGAGCCUACCACAAUCCAGCCUUUGCCACCAUUCCACCUCAAACACACCUGAUCUCAUCUGAUUUCAGAACCCAAGCAAGAUCAAGCCCAGUUAGUCCUGUAAGGAGAACCCAUAAAAGAAUGCCAGUGGACUUCAGGAAGGAAAUAAUUCUCCUCACGAUCAAAGUUGGCAAUACAGGACAAAAUGCAGAUACUUAGCCAGGCUGAGAGGGUAGCCACAAUCCAAAAGCCACAAACCAGUUACUUAUGGAGGACCAAACCAUACGCAGCAUCACGUCAAGCCAGUUCUUUGGAUCCAACCCAAUGAGAAGCUCUUUGGCAAUAAUCAUGGUCUUUGAUAUCCCUUGCUGAGCAGCAGUGCUGCUAGAAAUAAUGGGCAAUCCUAUGAGAGCAAUACUCCCCACUGCUUGUUUUAUGGUUUCCCUGCUGAACUCUACAUAUUGCUCUGCUUUGUGCUAUUGUAAUU
rnacentral:lncRNA from 1 species